rnacentral:rRNA from 1 species
GAGUUUGAUCUUGGCUCAGAUUGAACGCUGGCGGCAUGCCUUACACAUGCAAGUCGAACGGCAGCACGGGAGCUUGCUCCUGGUGGCGAGUGGCGAACGGGUGAGUAAUGCAUCGGAACGUAUCCUGGAGUGGGGGAUAACGUAGCGAAAGUUACGCUAAUACCGCAUAUUCUGUGAGCAGGAAAGCGGGGGACCUUCGGGCCUCGCGCUCUUGGAGCGGCCGAUGUCGGAUUAGCUAGUUGGUGAGGUAAAGGCUCACCAAGGCGACGAUCCGUAGCAGGUCUGAGAGGAUGAUCUGCCACACUGGAACUGAGACACGGUCCAGACUCCUACGGGAGGCAGCAGUGGGGAAUUUUGGACAAGUGGGGGCAACCCUGAUCCAGCCAUGCCGCGUGAGUGAAGAAGGCC